GGGUGCAUAAGGACAGGGGAGAACAUGGAAGAAGAGCUUUUCUCUUCGGCACAAGCACAUUUGGCUGAGACCCUGAGGCGGGCCGUCCCUCCGGAAAGGCUGCUGCUUUUUUCUUUGUGAAGUAACAGUGCCAGUGAGAGGGCAUGGAACCAGCUCCCAGGAGUUGGAAAACUCGUGUGGAAAGUUCUGAGAGAAGACAGCUCUUCAUCUUAACAAAAAUGAUCAGCAAAGCUUAUGUAUUUCCUUAGAGGGCUAAACUUGCAUUAAUUUCAUGAAAAAUCUAUACACAAAUGAUAACCUCGUGGUUUGUGGUAUUACGAACUUGAUUUAACUUCCCUCUCUUUGAUGCCAAGAAUUUCUUCAGCAGCAGGUAACAGAAUAUGUAAAGUAUAUGAAGAAAAAAAAUCACUUACAUGACUGAUGUAGGAAGCUUUGUUUACACCUCGUCAAUAACUUACUUUGUUAAGAAGUCACAGAUGGCCGGUGUAGCUCAGUGGAUUGAGCGCCGGCUGUGAGCCAAAGCAUCGC